rnacentral:rRNA from 1 species
CAGCCGCCGCGGUAAUACCGGCGGCCCGAGUGGCGGUCACUAUUAUUGGGCUUAAAGCGUCCGUAGCCGGGUUGGGAAGUCCUCCGGGGAAUCUGGCCGCUUAACGGUCAGAAUGCCGGAGGAUACUCCCAGCCUAGGGAGCGGGAGAGGCCGAGGGUAUUCCCGGGGUAGGGGUGAAAUCCUAUAAUCCCGGGAGGGCCACCUGUGGCGAAGGCGCUCGGCUGGAACGGGUCCGACGGUGAGGGACGAAGGCCAGGGGAGCAAACCGGAUUAGAUACCCGGGUAGUCCUGGCUGUAAACGAUGCGGACUUUGUGUCGGACAAGCUAUGAGCUUGUCCGGUGCCGGAGGGAAACCGUUAAGUCCGCCGCCUGGGGAGUACGGCCGCAAGGCUGAAACUUAAAGGAAUUGGCGGG